UGGGAAGCUGGGCAAGAUGGGUGACAGCCCCGUAGCCGUAGAAAGGACCACCGUUAGAGUAGGGCGGGACACGUGAAAUCCUGUCUGAACAUGGGGGGACCACCCUCCAAGCCUAAGUACUCCUUAUCGACCGAUAGCGCACUAGUACCGUGAGGGAAAGGUGAAAAGCACCCCGACAAGGGGAGUGAAACAGAUCCUGAAACCGGACGCCUACAAACAGUCGGAGCCUGCUCUUCGGAGUUGGUGACGGCGUACCUUUUGUAUAAUGGGUCAGCGACUUAGUCUCUCGAGCAAGCUUAAGCCGUUAGGUGUAGGCGCAGCGAAAGCGAGUCUGAAUAGGGCGCGUCAGUUCGAGGGAUUAGACCCGAAACCGAGUGAUCUAGGCAUGGCCAGGCUGAAGGUGCGGUAACACGCACUGAAGGGCCGAACCCACAUCCGUUGAAAAGGAUCGGGAUGAGCUGUGCCUAGGGGUGAAAGGCCAAUCAAACUCGGAGAUAGCUGGUUCUCCGCGAAAUCUAUUUAGGUAGAGCGUCGCACGAAUACCCCGGGGGGUAGAGCACUGGAUGGGUAAUGGGGCCCCACAGGCUUACUGAUCCUAACCAAACUCCGAAUACCCGGGAGUACUAUGCGGCAGACACACAUCGGGUGCUAAGGUCCGGUGUGGAAAGGGAAACAGCCCUGACCAACAGCUAAGGCCCCUAAUUCGUGGCUAAGUGGGAAAGCAUGUGGGACGGCCAAAACAACCAGGAUGUUGGCUUAGAAGCAGCCAUCAUUUAAAGAAAGCGUAACAGCUCACUGGUCUAGUCAAGCUGUCCUGCGGCGAAGAUGUAACGGGGCUCAAGCCACGAGCCGAAGCUGAGGAUGCACACCUUCGGGUGUGCGUGGUAGCGGAGCGUUCCCUGGGCGGUGAAGCUCGAUCGCGAGGUCGGGUGGAGCGCAGGGAAGUGAGAAUGCUGACGUGAGUAGCGAUAAAGAGUGUGAGAGACACUCUCGCCGAAAGUCCAAGGGUUCCUGCUUAAAGCUAAUCUGAGCAGGGUGAGCCGACCCCUAAGGCGAGGCCGAAAGGCGUAGUCGAUGGGAAUCUGGUUAAUAUUCCAGAGCCAGGAGGAAGUGACGGAUCGCAGAGGUUGUUCGUUCUUAUCGGAUUGAACGGGCCGCUGAGUGGUUCCAGGAAAUAGCCCUCCGCAUGAUCGUACCCUAAACCGACACAGGUGGACUGGUAGAGCAUACCAAGGCGCUUGAGAGAACUGCAUUGAAGGAACUCGGCAAAAUACCUCCGUAAGUUCGCGAGAAGGAGGCCCCAUGCUUGGGCAACCAGGUGUGGGGGGCACAGACCAGGGGGUGGCGACUGUUUACUAAAAACACAGGGCUCUGCGAAGCCGCAAGGCGACGUAUAGGGUCUGACGCCUGCCCGGUGCUGGAAGGUUAAAGGGAGGUGUGCAAGCACCGAACUGAAGCCCCAGUAAACGGCGGCCGUAACUAUAACGGUCCUAAGGUAGCGAAAUUCCUUGUCGGGUAAGUUCCGACCUGCACGAAUGGCGUAACGACUUCCCCGCUGUCUCCAAUGCAGACUCAGCGAAAUUGAAUUCCCCGUGAAGAUGCGGGGUUCCCGCGGUCAGACGGAAAGACCCCGUGCACCUUUACUACAGCUUCACACUGGCAUCAGGCAUGUCAUGUGCAGGAUAGGUGGUAGGCAGUGAAGCCCGGGCGCCAGCUCGGUGGAGCCUCCCUUGAGAUACCACCCUUGAUCUGCUUGAUGUCUAACCGCGGUCCGUCAUCCGGAUCCGGGACC
rnacentral:rRNA from 1 species